rnacentral:rRNA from 1 species
GACGAACCGAGCGAACGUUGUUCGGAAUCACUGGGCUUAAAGGGCGCGUAGGCGGGCUGCCAAGUCCGGGGUGAAAUCCUCCGGCUUAACCGGAGAAUGGCCUCGGAUACUGGCGGCCUGGAGGGGGGUAGGGGCGUGCGGAACUGUGGGUGGAGCGGUGAAAUGCGUUGAGAUCCACAGGAACUCCGGUGGCGAAGGCGGCACGCUGGACCCUUUCUGACGCUGAGGCGCGAAAGCCAGGGGAGCGAAUGGG